GAGCAGCAGAGCUGGGCACUAACUCAAGGCAAGUAAUGUUUUUUCUCCUUAUCUUUACACAUAGUUAUAAAUCUGUUAUGUAGUUUAAUUAAAUUAAAUCCUUAAACAGCACUUCAGCUAUACAGUUUAAAGAGGAGACAGCUAACUAGCGGUUAGCCCUAAGAUUAAAUCUACGGAAAAUGAUUUAAGCUGUGAUGUAGAGAGUAGAUACUUCCAUCCAUCCAUCUUCUAUACUGCUUUAUCGUUUUCAGGGUCACAGGGAACAUGGGGCACAAGGCAGGGUACACCUUGGACAGGGUGCCAAUCCAUCACAGGGCAUAAUCACAUACACACUCACACACCCAUUCAUACACUACGGACACUUUGGACACGCCGAUCAUCCUACCAUGCAUGUGUUUGGACUGGGGGAGGAAACCGGAGUACCCGGAGGAAACCCCCGCAGCACAGGGAGAAACGUGCAAACUCCACACACACAGGGCCCCAGUGGGACUCGAACCCCCGACCCUGGAGGUGUGAGGCAAACGUGCUAACCACUAAGCCACCAUGCACUUCUUUUGUUUAAAUUAUCUAAAAAUCUAACUAAAAAUCUAUCUAAAAUCUAACACGUUAAAGUUCAAGGCUCAAGGUUUACUUCUUCCUGUGGACCGUUUUGUUUGUAUUUUUACACCCAUUUCCCCCACAAAAAUGUUAGCUUUCUAGCUGACAUGCUUCUGAACAGAUUAGUUUAGUUUGGCACAGCAUGAAUUUUAGCUAACAUAAAAAUACAGACUUUAAAAAUAUUAAAAACAUUAAAAAUACAGACUUCUGAAUAUAUCCCCCUUUUUUACACUGAUGUUUUGUCUGUUUAGCAAUUAGAAAGUUAGGUAUAGCAAAUGUGAUUUUAACAUGUAUUGUUACAAGUAACAUGUUAUAGUAAUGUAUUCAUUUAUUUUUCACACCAAAUUGUUGAGGCCCCCCUGGCGGCCCCCACUUUGAAAACCACUGGUGUAAUGAACAGAAUCUGCUGUUUGUUAAUAACUGGAAUGUGUUCUGGGAGCGUCCUUGGUUGUUUCGUCCUGAUGGCCUGCACCCCAGCAGCCUCGGAGCGGAACCGUUGUCAGACAACAUCUCCAAGACGCUACACACCAAGUGACUGCCUACCAUACUAGAGAUCCUGAUCCUUUCUGCUCUCCGUACCUGCCCGAUCCGUUUCGGAUGUCCUACCUCUGGAUGGAGCUCUCAUCUACUCCAAUUCCAGACUGCUGGGACUACGGCUGCUUCUAAGGCCAAACAGACUUCAUAUAAAACCAUAAUGAACUUUUUCACACUAUCCGUUGUUACCCAGAUGAGGACGGGUUCCCUUCUGAGUCGGGUUCCUCUCAAGGUUUCUUCCUCUUAAAACAUCUCAGGGAGUUUUUCCUCACCACCGUCACCACCGGCUCGCUCAAUAGGGAUAAAUUCGUACUCUUAAUAUCUGUAUACAGUGUUUAUAUAUUUCUGUAAAGCUGCUUUGAGACAAUGUCUAUUGUAAAAACUCUAUACAAAUAAAAUGUAAUUGAUUUAA